rnacentral:rRNA from 1 species
AUACGGAGGAUCCGAGCGUUAUCCGGAUUUAUUGGGUUUAAAGGGUGCGCAGGCGGGAGAUUAAGUCGGCGGUGAAAUUUUUCAGCUCCACUGUAAAAGUGCCUUCGAAACUGGUUUCCUUGAGUGUAGAUGAAGGAGGCGGAAUUUGUGGUGUAGCGGGGAAAUGCAUAGAUAUCACGAGGAACUCCGAUUGCGCAGGCAGCUUACUAAACUACUACUGACGCUCAGGCACGAAGGCGUGGGGAUCAAACAGGAUUAGAUACCCUGGUAGUCCACGCAGUAAACGAUGAUUACUAGCUGUUUGCGAUACAAUGUAAGCGGCUGAGCGAAAGCGUUAAGUAAUCCACCUGGGGAGUACGUUCGCAAGAAUGAAACUCAAAGGAAUUGACGGGG